GUAGCUAACGCAUUAAGUGCCCCGCNUGGGGAGUACGGCCGCAAGGCUAAAACUCAAAGGAAUUGACGGGGGCCCGCACAAGCGGCGGAGCAUGCGGAUUAAUUNGAUGCAACGCGAAGAACCUUACCAAGGCUUGACAUGCAUUAGAUCGCGUCAGAGAUGGCGUUUCCCUUCGGGGCUGGUGUACAGGUGGUGCAUGGUUGUCGUCAGCUCGUGUCGUGAGAUGUUGGGUUAAGUCCNGCAACGAGCGCAACCCUCGUUCUAUGUUGCCAGCGGUUCGGCCGGGGACUCAUAGGAGACUGCCGGGGUCAACUCGGAGGAAGGUGGGGAUGACGUCAAAUCAUCAUGCCCCUUAUGUCUUGGGCUUCACGCAUGCUACAAUGGCCGGUACAGAGGGUUGCGAUACUGUGAGGUGGAGCUAAUCCCUUAAAGCCGGUCUCAGUUCGGAUUGGGGUCUGCAACUCGACCCCAUGAAGUCGGAGUCGCUAGUAAUCGCAGAUCAGCAACGCUGCGGUGAAUACGUUCCCGGGCCUUGUNC
rnacentral:rRNA from 1 species